AAUUUCUGUGGCUCAGUGAGCAAAGCAUUGGAUUGGUAAUGCAAAGAUCAUGGGUUUGAAACCCGGGAAAUUG